rnacentral:rRNA from 1 species
UACAGAGGUCCCAAGCGUUGUUCGGAUUCACUGGGCGUAAAGAGCUCGUAGGCGGCUUGGCAAGUCGGGUGUGAAAACUCCAGGCUCAACCUGGAGACGCCACCCGAUACUGCCAUGGCUUGAGUCCGGUAGGGGACCACGGAAUUCCUGGUGUAGCGGUGAAAUGCGCAGAUAUCAGGAGGAACACCGGUGGCGAAGGCGGGUCUCUGGGCCGUUACUGACGCUGAGGAGCGAAAGCGUGGGGAGCGAACAGG